CGCGAUCGGAGCGCACGAGCAGUUUAAUCGGUAAGGCGGAUGUCCAGUCGCUGUCGUGGAACUUUUAUUCACAAUGGAAAUCCGGAGGACUUCUUGCAGUGUUAGAGGUGGAGGGUACAGGAACUAUUCCCGGGAAGACAUUGACAAUGCCUUCAACAUGGUUGUCAAGGAUAAGGUCCUGUACAAAGAGCGGCUCGGCAUUUUAAUGUGCCUAUCACAACAUUAAAAGACAGAGCAUUGACACUGUACAAUCUGGACCUCAACCAAUGUUUUCUCAAGAACAAGAAGCCCUCUUAGCUAUGCACAUGAUUACUAUGGGCGAACUUGGUUACGGGUGUAUAUUGUGUUGAAUCGUGGAAAUAAUUGGAAUACACCUAUUUUAUUCAA